AGAGUUUGAUCAUGGCUCAGGAUGAACGCUGGCGGCGUGCCUAAUACAUGCAAGUCGAGCGGUAAGGCUCCUUCGGGAGUACACGAGCGGCGGACGGCUGAGUAACGCGUAGGAACCUACCCCAAAGUGAGGGAUAAGCACCAGAAAUGGUGUCUAAUACCGCAUAUGCUCUUCGGAGUAAAGCUACGGCGCUUUGGGAA
rnacentral:rRNA from 1 species